rnacentral:rRNA from 1 species
GUCGAACGAGUUCUCGUUGAUGAUCGGUGCUUGCACCGAGAUUCAACAUGGAACGAGUGGCGGACGGGUGAGUAACACGUGGGUAACCUGCCCUUAAGUGGGGGAUAACAUUUGGAAACAGAUGCUAAUACCGCAUAGAUCCAAGAACCGCAUGGUUCUUGGCUGAAAGAUGGCGUAAGCUAUCGCUUUUGGAUGGACCCGCGGCGUAUUAGCUAGUUGGUGAGGUAAUGGCUCACCAAGGCGAUGAUACGUAGCCGAACUGAGAGGUUGAUCGGCCACAUUGGGACUGAGACACGGCCCAAACUCCUACGGGAGGCAGCAGUAGGGAAUCUUCCACAAUGGACGCAAGUCUGAUGGAGCAACGCCGCGUGAGUGAAGAAGGCUUUCGGGUCGUAAAACUCUGUUGUUGGAGAAGAAUGGUCGGCAGAGUAACUGUUGUCGGCGUGACGGUAUCCAACCAGAAAGCCACGGCUAACUACGUGCCAGCAGCCGCGGUAAUACGUAGGUGGCAAGCGUUAUCCGGAUUUAUUGGGCGUAAAGCGAGCGCAGGCGGUUUUUUAAGUCUGAUGUGAAAGCCCUCGGCUUAACCGAGGAAGCGCAUCGGAAACUGGGAAACUUGAGUGCAGAAGAGGACAGUGGAACUCCAUGUGUAGCGGUGAAAUGCGUAGAUAUAUGGAAGAACACCAGUGGCGAAGGCGGCUGUCUGGUCUGUAACUGACGCUGAG